UUGGCCCUCAGGGGCGAGCGUUUCCCGAAAGCUCCAGAGGCUUUUGGAAGCCUGCCGGGGGACAGAGUAGGUCUUACAGCCCGCAGGCCAUGGAUCCGUGUGUGCUCGUGUGGUGAUUUGGGACAGCUCAACUGGGACAGCUCUACAGCAAUGUGCCCGCUUCAGCUCCGGAGUUGAGCGGAUGGCUUCGUGCGCUCGGUGCGCAGAGGCCUGUGGCCGGCUUGCCGCGGGCAGGGCCGGGCUGCUGAGGCGCGGCGGGCAGGGGCACCUGGAGAGGGGAUAAUGGCUGCCGGGCUGCGAGAGGAGCCGAGCUGCAGGAGUCCAGCCGCAACCGGUCAGGCCUGUGUCUGGAAGCACAUUCUUCUGGAGGUUCCUGCCAUCCCUUGGUGAAAGGCUUUGCUGGAAAGGGCAGACAAACUGCUCGCAUCCUUCUGGCCCCUUCUUUCUUCAGUUGCUUCCUGUGGCUCCUGGUUCCCAUGGGUUGGCUCUGGCUCCAGAGGAGCCCACUCUCCAGCAGCAAGGACACAGUCUAAUAGAGCAUGGUACAACAUGCAACCCUGCCUCACUACCAAUCCUGAGUAUGUUCUUUUGCUUGCCAAUUAUGGCACUCCACGUUGAACAAGUUUUUAAUCAAUUCCAUAGUCAGAGGUACGCUGGAGAUUCUCCAAUUGCCAAGCAACUACGUGAGUGCCUUUACAACACACACACACACACACACUCGCUAUCAGCACUCCCUCUGAAGGUGACGCUUGUCUGGCUCUUCAACCUGUGCCAGAAGGGAGUUUAAUCCUCGUUCAGAAGCGUUCCUGGACAUUCUCUGAGCCCCUCUGCAGCCGACCCCGGGACCACCUCUCGAGAAGCCCGGCACGGGAGUCCUCCCCAGCAGCCCCACGCCGCUUCCGAGGGCGGCCGGCCCGCGGCAGUGCUUGCACGUCGCAGGGCGCCGGUCGGGGACUCCCAGCGCGUUCGGGCGCUCCAGGGAAGCGCAGAGCCGGUACCCGCACACCGGCGGCACCAGGCUGCCGGGGCCAUACAGAGACUGGCCGAGGGGAAGCGCCCCCGUGAGCAUGUGGAAGGAGCAGGGCUGCCAACUCACCCGAGCCGUCGCUCCCGCGCACAGGGCUGGAGAGCAGGAAAGUGCCUGCGAACAGACAGGGAGCGGGUCGGGGCGAUGCUCCGCGCUCUCCACGCCGGCCCCGAGCCGCUCCCCGUGGUACCCACCGACGAGAAUGGGUGUGAGCCACAUGACUGGAGGGUCCGCACUCUGCGAGAGCCGAGAACCCGAGCGAGAUUGCGCAGCGCAAAGCUACCCGCCUGCCCCCUCUACACUGCCACAACACCACCACCAGCAGCCGCCGCACCCGCUUUAAACCUCUCCUGGGGCGCAUGAGCACUGGGGCGAGAGAGGGUGGCCGGGGCGGGAGGGAAGGAGGGAGCGGACGCGGGGCUGGGCGGGCCCUUCGCUGGGCGAGGCCCGGCAGGUGCUGCCAUCUCUCCCCCGCCCCUCACCGCACAUCCUGCACCACCCAGGUCCUCGGGAACGGCAGCCCGAUGCUCCUCUAAGCAGCGGGAUCAAGCAAUUCACUCCCCUCCCCGCUACCUCAUCCACUGCGAGCAGGCAGCGGAGUCGUAAGGAACUUUCCAUGCCUUGCGAAGAUGUCUCUGACGUUUGCCUUUCCAGGUCUGUCCCUCUACCUGCAACUUUUGAAUGUCUUGUUUCAGAUGUCUUUAUUAUUAUUGUUGUUGUAAUAGAAUACCUUAUUCGAGAUACCUAAAGAAA